UCUCCUACGGGACGCAGCAGUGGGGAAUAUUGCACAAUGGGGGAAACCCUGAUGCAGCAACGCCGCGUGAAGGAAGACGGUUUUCGGAUUGUAAACUUCUGUUCUUAGUGAAGAAAAAUGACGGUAGCUAAGGAGCAAGCCACGGCUAACUACGUGCCAGCAGCCGCGGUAAUACGUAGGUGGCAAGCGUUGUCCGGAAUUACUGGGUGUAAAGGGAGCGCAGGCGGGAAGACAAGUCAGCUGUGAAAAAUAUGGGCUUAACUU
rnacentral:rRNA from 1 species